AUGUAGAGCAAUCAAACAAUUGGAUUAUGAAUGGAAGGUUGUAAACCCAUAUUAUUUGCGUGUACGAAGGAAGAAUCCUGUGACAAGCACUUACUCCAAAAUGAGUCUACAGUUAUACCAAGUGGAUAGUAGAACUUAUCUACUGGAUUUCCGUAGUAUUGAUGGUAUGUACAUCACACAAAACAACAUAGAUUAGACCUUGUUACUAACUUGGUAUUUUACGCCUUGAUUCUUUUGAGGCUUCUUGACUUGUUCCUAGUAAUUCAACUGCAAAGGAAUAAAAAAUGUGAUUUCUUGUGCCUUUGCAAUAUUAACAUUUAUGAAUCUUAUUUUUCUUGUAAUCUUAUAGCAUAUUGUCCUUUUAAGAUUAUCAUCUUGUAAAAUCCUUAAAGCCAGGUGUAGUCUGAUCCUAAGGUGAUAGUUUUCUGCUGCAUUU
rnacentral:ncRNA from 2 species